UCCUAAGUCUUUUGGUAACUAUAGCCCUAGUAGACAGCUUGUUCACAGCCUUAUUUGAGACUCACCUCAAAGACACGUAGCUAAGCUUCUUCCAAAUUCCUGACCUGUAGAAACUGUGUGAGAUAAUAAAUGUUGGCUUAAGCUAAGUUUUGGGGUUAAAUGUAUCAAUAGAUAACUAAUAAAUGACUUUCUAAUAUAAAAAUAUUUAUAUGAUUCAUUGUCCUGAAACAAUCAAAGGAGGUAGAGGGGUCCAGCAGAACUCUGCUGAAGUCAUACAGUCUUGAAGAGGAGUCUGCCCGCUGAAUGGGGAGAGGGGUCAGUGGCCCUGGCAUGGACAAUCUCUACUCUUGAGACGCUAUCAGAAAACAUAAAGGAUUAGAGUCAGAAGAGAUGUUAAGAGUUAUCUAAGUUUACCCAAAGCAACCAUCUCCCCUGUAGCCUUUUGGAAAGUUACUGAAAGGAUCUGUAAGGAAGAGAUUUACCUAGGAUUUUUGAAAGUUAUGUGGUAGCUGUGGGAGGAUUCAAGUAGCAGCUCAAGCUCUGAUGAGAAAGAUGAAGAAGUUGCUUCUUUACCUUUUAAUCACAAUUAUAAAACAUUAACUGACAACCUAUACAUAUCCAUAUGAUAGAUCUGGCAAAGCUACUAGCACACUGUGUAGAAUAGCUGGUGUACAGAAUGUUUUUCUUCUAAAACAAAGUAUUCUUGCAGUGUUUCAUGUUCAAGAAUAUAUUCAUCAAACUCCAAGAGUUUUGUCCAGACUUCAGAUAACAGCCAAUGAGUCACUUUAAAAGAUGUCAAUGGAAAGUCCCAGGAGACCAUCUUAGCCCUAAAUUUGGCCAAUCAAGAGAUAUACCUCAUAUGUGUGGUUACGGGAACAUUUCACAACAAAAGAUAUCUCUUGCCAACUCAACACAAGGCCAAAGCAGACACGGGAAUAUUUUCCAUGUACCAUGUUUGCCAAGAAAAUGCACAAUGUUUUCCAUGCAGAUACUAAAAUUUUGGCUAAGAAGUUAGAAAUCUGUAACUUUUGUGGCAAAAGUAGAACAAGAAAUAUCCAUCCAGUUAAAUAACUCUCUUCAGAAAGGACUGUACAGAGAAAGAGCAUGAACGGGGGAGGAUCAGAGAGAGAGGAAGACACAGAAUCCA